GAUGAACGCUGGCGGCGUGCCUAAUACAUGCAAGUCGAGCGAACAGACGAGGAGCUUGCUCCUCUGACGUUAGCGGCGGACGGGUGAGUAACGCGUGGAUAACCUACCUAUAAGACUGGGAUAACUUCGGGAAACCGGAGCUAAUACCGGAUAAUAUAUUGAACCGCAUGGUUCAAUAGUGAAAGACGGUUUUGCUGUCACUUAUAGAUGGAUCCGCGCCGCAUUAGCUAGUUGGUAAGGUAACGGCUUACCAAGGCAACGAUGCGUAGCCGACCUGAGAGGGUGAUCGGCCACGCUGGAACUGAGACACGGUCCAGACUCCUACGGGAGGCAGCAGUAGGGAAUCUUCCGCAAUGGGCGAAAGCCUGACGGAGCAACGCCGCGUGAGUGAUGAAGGUCUUCGGAUCGUAAAACUCUGUUAUUAGGGAAGAACAAAUGUGUAAGUAACUGUGCACGUCUUGACGGUACCUAAUCAGAAAGCCACGGCUAACUACGUG
rnacentral:rRNA from 1 species